rnacentral:piRNA from 1 species
UGAGAUUCUGAUCACCUGAGAAAUGC